ensembl:snRNA U6 U6 spliceosomal RNA
GGCCCAACAUCUAAAAUUGGAUCGAUCCAGAGAAGAUUAGCAUGGCCCCUGCAAAAGGAUGACACGCAAAUCCGUGAAGCGCUCCAUAUUUUU